GACGAACGCUGGCGGCGUGCUUAACACAUGCAAGUCGAACGGAAAGGCCCUGCUUGCAGGGUACUCGAGUGGCGAACGGGUGAGUAACACGUGGGUGAUCUGCCCUGCACUUCGGGAUAAGCUUGGGAAACUGGGUCUAAUACCGGAUAGGAGCCAUCUUUAGUGUGGUGGUUGGAAAGUUUUUUCGGUGUAGGAUGAGCUCGCGGCCUAUCAGCUUGUUGGUGGGGUAAUGGCCUACCAAGGCGGCGACGGGUAGCCGGCCUGAGAGGGUGUACGGCCACAUUGGGAAUGAGAUACGGCCCAGACUCCUACGGGAGGCAGCAGUGGGGAAUAUUGCACAAUGGGCGCAAGCCUGAGGCAGCGACGCCGCGUGGGGGAUGAAGGCCUUCGGGUUGUAAACUCCUUUCGCUAGGGACGAAGCUUUGUUGUGACGGUACCUAGAUAAGAAGCACCGGCUAACUACGUG
rnacentral:rRNA from 1 species